rnacentral:rRNA from 1 species
AACCGCCUAGAGGUAAACGGGUGGAUCCGCAAAGUCGGCCCGCGGAAUUCAGCUCGGAAGGCUGGCGCGGGCGGCGGGCCAAGAGAUCUGAUCGGACUCUCCCGUCGCUCGACCGCUGGUCGGCCGUGUGCACUUUCCGCGGGCAGAGCGCCACGACCGGUUCUCGGGCGGUCAGAAGGCGGCGAGGAAGGUAGGUGGGCUCUCGCGAGCCCACUGUUAUAGCCUCGCCUGUCCCGACCCGCUUGGGGACCGAGGAUCCGCCGUCGGUCGCGGCCACUCCGCUCUCUUGGGGAGUUCGACUAGCAGAGACUGGGCAACCGUGUCUGCUGACUGCUCUCUUGGAUGGUCGGAGCGGGCCUGGCCGGCACAGGGUCGGUGGCGAAUCGGUCGGCCCUCCACCCGACCCGUCUUGAAACACGGACCAAGGAGUCUAACAUGCGCGCGAGUCGUUGGGUAGUACGAAACCCGAAGGCGAAGUGAAAGCGAGGGUGUGCCUCUGGCGCACUCAGGUGGGAUCCCGCUCCCUACUGGGGUAGUGGGCGCACCGCCGGCCCGUCUCGUCCGCGUCGUCGGUGAGGCGGAGCAAGAGCGUGCACGUUGGGACCCGAAAGAUGGUGAACUAUGCCUGAGUAGGAUGAAGCCAGAGGAAACUCUGGUGGAGGUCCGCAGCGAUUCUGACGUGCAAAUCGAUCGUCAAACUUGGGUAUAGGGGCGAAAGACUAAUCGAACCAUCUAGUAGCUGGUUCCCUC